CUGUAGCUAGGAGGGGUGACAGCUAAUGGGGGUGUUUAGAGUCUUUGAGUGAACCAACCACAUCAAAGAGUAAUUGUAAUUUAUUUCACCCUAUCUUCUGUAGCAUUCACCUUUGGAGGAAGUUCCUUUGAGCAGGGACAGAGAUGGUGAUGUCACUGACAGUCCCCCCUUUUAUUCUGGGUGAAAGGUCUAGAAUCCUCAGCUCCAGUAUUCAUUCCCACAAAGGUCUCAUCUAGGUGAAGGCUCCACCUGCCCCCCACCCCCCACCCCGCCAUGGCCACCAGGCUCCUCCGCUGUCUGGUCCUUUGUCUCCUGGGAGAAGAGCUCAUAGAUGCUGGAGUCACCCAGACACCAAGGCACAAGGUGACAGAGAUGGGACAAGAAGUAACUAUGAGAUGUCAGCCAAUUUUAGGCCACAAUACUAUUUUCUGGUACAGACAGACCAUGAUGCAAGGACUGGAGUUGCUGGUUUACUUACGCAACAAGGCUCCUCUAGAUGAUUCAGGAAUGCCCAAGGAUCGAUUCUCAGCAGAGAUGCCUAAUGCAUCUUUAGCUACUCUGAAGAUCCAGCCCUCAGAACCCAGGGACUCGGCUGUGUAUCUUUGUGCCAGUGGUUUGGUCACAGUGCUGCAGAAUCGCCUGCUCCCUGUGCAGAAACCCUGGUGCUUUCUCUUCUCCUCCAGUACCCAGCAGCUCUCAGCAGCCUUUCUUGCUCCUCCCCCAGCACAGGAAGUAUGUAGGUUUGGUGUUCCACAUGUCCCUAGGCAAGGCAAGAACAGGUCAUAAGGAUGCAUCAUGUUAGGAAACUUUUGGCAGGAAGUCAGGGGGUGCAAUGGUUCCUGGGAUUCCUCACAUACUUCUCACAAGGGUGCCUGAGACCAGGUUUGAGGGUGAGUGUCACAGACUGGAGCUUUUAAGUGAUCGAGUGAGCUUAACACUGUGCAGCCAUUGCACAUGAAUGCUUCUCUCCUUUGCUGCUUUUCAUUAUGACUUCUCUGCCAUUUCUUUUCUCUUCUACCUUAAAACUUUCAACAUCUUUGAUGACUUCCCACAUCAAUCUUGGCUUCCCAGUUGUUUCAGUUGCUCACUUCAAAUGAUCAUUUCCUUCACCUUCUUCUCCACUUUCUUUUUCUAGACUUCCAAUAACAAAUUAUUUGAAUUACCCCCAAACAGCUUCCUCAAGCCUCCUAUUGUCUCAUGCAGGCUUCUCCUUUCAUCUCUGGUACUAUUUCUGCAGCAAUUCUUCAACCCCAUCAGGACCACUAAUUGACUUCUCCUGCAAACAUUGCACCAUAUAUCAUCUCAUGCACUAUAUUCAUUAUCCGACUUAGACUAUUCUAAGUGUUCUAAGAUGAUUGUGAAAUUCUUGCAUAUGUCUUCAACUCUCAUCUUUUCUUUUUCUGUUUCUUACCUGGAAAGAGACCUUUCUUACCUGAAAGGGCCACUGAGUA